GAGCGUGCGGCCUUUCCCCGCUGGGCAGCGCUGCGUGUGUGUCGGUGAGCGGUGGUGGUUCGUGCGCGGCCGUGUUCUGUGCGCUGAAGCGAUGAUGGGGACGGAGCCCCCGGGCCUCGCCAACAUGCAGCCGACGCGAGGGCCUUGCGGCGGCAGGUCGAGGGCGGCAGCGGCAGCCCGCGGGCUGAGAGGCCCGGGCGGACUCGGGGCUCCUUAGGCCGCGCGGCCGCCACGUGCAGCUCUAGGUACCGAGUCCCAGGCGGCGCGCAUGCGCCCUGCGCCCGGGCGAGUCCCGGACGGUCGGGUCCACGCGGCGCCCAGUGGCCGAGCGGGACGCCUGCGCCGGCGGGGACGAGAGGUCUCCGGGAGCCGCCUGCAUGCCCAGGACAACGGGAUUCGAGUCAGCAGCCCCAGGAUGGCUGGGAAAUGAUGUGAUGGGAACAAAACGAUGUUCUGGGAACCACAGGAAGUAUUUUGCGUUAUGCCUGGAUGUUGGCAGAUGAGUGUGUGCUUGUUACGAUUAAAUAAAGUGCUGGUUCGUCUGGCU